rnacentral:tRNA from 1 species
GGAGAAUUGGCCGAGUGGUCGAAGGCGCUCCCUUGGAAAGGGAGUAUACGCGCGAGCGUAUCGUGGGUUCGAAUCCCAUGUUCUCCGCCA